rnacentral:ncRNA from 2 species
CAUUCCGAGGAGCGUUGCAGCUCACGCCAAGGGCAAAAGCCCGGCGCUGAGUGAGGCUCGGAACCCGCUGCGGCCUACGGCUUGGCGUUUCACAACGGCGCUCACCCACU